AUUGAACGCUGGCGGCAGGCCUAACACAUGCAAGUCGAGCGGAUGAAGGGAGCUUGCUCCUGGAUUCAGCGGCGGACGGGUGAGUAAUACCUAGGAAUCUGCCUGGUAGUGGGGGAUAACGUCCGGAAACGGGCGCUAAUACCGCAUACGUCCUGAGGGAGAAAGUGGGGGAUCUUCGGACCUCACGCUAUCAGAUGAGCCUAGGUCGGAUUAGCUAGUUGGUGGGGUAAAGGCCUACCAAGGCGACGACCCGUAACUGGUCUGAGAGGAUGAUCAGUCACACUGGAACUGAGACACGGUCCAGACUCCUACGGGAGGCAGCAGUGGGGAAUAUUGGACAAUGGGCGAAAGCCUGAUCCAGCCAUGCCGCGUGUGUGAAGAAGGUCUUCGGAUUGUAAAGCACUUUAAGUUGGGAGGAAGGGCAGUAAGUUAAUACCUUGCUGUUUUGACGUUACCAACAGAAUAAGCACCGGCUAACUUCGUG
rnacentral:rRNA from 1 species